AACGCUGGCGGCAGGCCUAACACAUGCAAGUCGAGCGGUAGCACAGCAGAGCUUGCUCUCUGGGUGACGAGCGGCGGACGGGUGAGUAAUGUCUGGGAAACUGCCUGAUGGAGGGGGAUAACUACUGGAAACGGUAGCUAAUACCGCAUAACGUCUUCGGACCAAAGUGGGGGACCUUCGGGCCUCACGCCAUCAGAUGUGCCCAGAUGGGAUUAGCUAGUAGGUGGGGUAAUGGCUCACCUAGGCGACGAUCCCUAGCUGGUCUGAGAGGAUGACCAGCCACACUGGAACUGAGACACGGUCCAGACUCCUACGGGAGGCAGCAGUGGGGAAUAUUGCACAAUGGGCGCAAGCCUGAUGCAGCCAUGCCGCGUGUGUGAAGAAGGCCUUCGGGUUGUAAAGCACUUUCAGCGAGGAGGAAGGGUUCAGUGUUAAUAGCACUGUUCAUUGACGUUACUCGCAGAAGAAGCACCGGCUAACUCCGUGCCAGCAGCCGCGGUAAUACGGAGGGUGCAAGCGUUAAUCGGAAUUACUGGGCGUAAAGCGCACGCAGGCGGUUUGUUAAGUCAGAUGUGAAAUCCCCGCGCUUAACGUGGGAACUGCAUUUGAAACUGGGAAGCUAGAGUCUUGUAGAGGGGGGUAGAAUUCCAGGUGUAGCGGUGAAAUGCGUAGAGAUCUCGAGGAAUACCGGUGGCGAAGGCGGCCCCCUGGACAAAGACUGACGCUCAGGUGCGAAAGCGUGGGGAGCAAACAGGAUUAGAUACCCUGGUAGUCCACGCUGUAAACGAUGUCGACUUGGAGGUUGUGCCCUUGAGGCGUGGCUUCCGGAGCUAACGCGUUAAGUCGACCGCCUGGGGAGUACGGCCGCAAGGUUAAAACUCAAAUGAAUUGACGGGGGCCCGCACAAGCGGUGGAGCAUGUGGUUUAAUUCGAUGCAACGCGAAGAACCUUACCUACUCUUGACAUCCAGAGAAUUCGCUAGAGAUAGCUUAGUGCCUUCGGGAACUCUGAGACAGGUGCUGCAUGGGUGUCGUCAGCUCGUGUUGUGAAAUGUUGGGUUAAGUCCCGCAACGAGCGCAACCCUUAUCCUUUGUUGCCAGCACGUAAUGGUGGGAACUCAAAGGAGACUGCCGGUGUUAAACCGGAGGAAGGUGGGGAUGACGUCAUGUCAUCAUGGCCCUUACGAGUAGGGCUCGUCACACCAUGGGAGUGG
rnacentral:rRNA from 1 species